UGGGCGGGCGGGCGGACGCGGGAGAGGUUGGGCGGGCGGGCGGACGCGGGAGAGGUUGGGCGGGAGGGCGGCCGGACGGACGCGGGAGAGGCCGGCGGGGAGAGCUCGGCCCCGGAGCACGGCACAGAGGUCCCCCGCAACCCCCGACCCGGAGCCAUAAAUUUUCCUUUCCCCGGAGCCGGGAAGGAGAGGGAGAGAGAGGAGAGGGGCAAAACUGCAGGGUCCUAACUUCGGAUAUAAAGCUCGGCCACUCGCUACUUGUGCAGCCUUGGCAGAGAGCCCGCAUCCUGUCCAUACAAGCCUAGCAAGCCACUCAGCCUCUCAUCCUGUCUCCUCUCAAAGUGGGGAUAAUCGCAGCCGUGCAGCGUUGUUGAAAGAAUACAUAAAAGCCGGGCACGGUGGCUCACACCUGUAAUCUCAGCACUUUGGGAGGAUCACUUGAGCCCAGGAGUUCGAGACCAGCCUAAACAAGAGUGAGACUAACCCCCGAUCUCUACAAAAAAAAAAAACAAAAAACAAACUAGCCAGGCAUGGUGACAGUGUGGUCUCAUUUACUCGGGAGGCUGAGGCAGGAGGAUGGCUUGAGCCCAGGAGGUCAAGGCUGCAGAGAGCCAUGAUGGUACCACUGCACUCCAGCCUGGGCAACAAAACGAGACCUUGCCUCAAAAAAAAUAAAGCAUCUAGGCCGGGCGCUGUGGCUCACGCCUGUAAUCCCAGCACUUUGGGAGGCCAAGGCGGGUGGAUCACCUGAGGUCAGGAGUUUGAGACCAGCCUGGCCAACAUGGCAAAAUCCCGUCUCUACUAAAAAUACAAAAUUAGCCGGGCGUGGUGGUGAAUGCCU
rnacentral:lncRNA from 1 species